AACUGCCUAAUGACCGAUAUGUAUAUAUAUGUAUGUGUGUGUGUGUGUAUAUAUACAUAUAUACAUACAUACAUACAUACAUACAUACAUACAUACA
ensembl:miRNA Gm24561 predicted gene, 24561